GGGGGGGGGGGGGGGGGGGGGGGGGAGGGGCGGGGGGGGGGAACGGGCGGGGGGGUUGCUGCGCUGGCGUUAGCGGCGGAGGGGUGCGUAACAGGUGGAUGACCUACCUAUAAGAGUGGGAUAACUUCGGGAAACCGGAGCUAAUACCGGAUAAUAUAUUGCACCGCGUGGUUCAGUAGUGAAGGGCGGUGUUGCUGUCACUUAUAGAUGGGUCGGCGCCGCAUUAGCUAGUUGGUAAGGUAACGGCUUACCAAGGCGACGAUGCGUAGCCGACCUGAGAGGGUGAUCGGCCACACUGGAACUGAGACACGGUCCAGACUCAUACGGGAGGCAGCAGUAGGGAAUCUGCCGCAAUGGGCGAAAGCCUGACGGAGCAACGCCGCGUGAGUGAUGAAGGUCUUCGGAUCGUAAAACUCUGUUAUUAGGGAAGAACAAAUGUGUAAGUAACUAUGCACGUCUUGACGGUACCUAAUCAGAAAGCCACGGCUAACUACGUG
rnacentral:rRNA from 1 species